rnacentral:rRNA from 1 species
UACAGAGGGUGCGAGCGUUACUCGGAAUUACUGGGCGUAAAGGGCGCGUAGGCGGUUAUAUAAGUUAGAUGUGAAAUCCCCGAGCUUAACUUGGGAACUGCAUCUAAUACUGUAUAGCUAGAGUAGAAUAGAGGGGAGUGGAAUUUCCGGUGUAGCGGUGAAAUGCGUAGAUAUCGGAAAGAACACCAGUGGCGAAGGCGGCUUCCUGGAUUCAUACUGACGCUGAGGCGCGAAAGCGUGGGAGCAAACAGG